rnacentral:rRNA from 1 species
AUGAACGCUGGCGGCGUGGAUAAGGCAUGCAAGUCGAACGAAUUAUUUUUCAAACAAGAUGCGAUUACAUCAAAUCAAGCGAGAUUUAUGAUUAGUGGCGAACGAGUUAGUAACGCCUUGGUUACGUACCCCAAAGUCGGGCAUAACCUGCCGAAAGGCAGGCUAAUUCCCGAUAGCAUCGAAAGAUUAAAGUCGCAAGACGCUUUGGGAGCGGCCUAGGUCCUAUCAGCUUGUUGGUGAGGUAACGGCUCACCAAGGCUACGACGGGUAGGGGGUGUGAGAGCACGGCCCCCAACGACGUUAUUGAGAACGGAACGUACACCUACGGGUGGCAGCAGUCGAGAAUAUUCGACAAUGGGCGAAAGCCUGAUCGAGCGACGCCGCGUGCAGGAAGAAGGCCUUCGGGUUGUAAACUGCUUUUGCGUGGGAAGAAUUUUGACGGUACCACGAGAAUAAGGGGUUGCUAACUCUGU